rnacentral:rRNA from 1 species
AGCGAACGCUGGCGGCAGGCCUAACACAUGCAAGUCGAACGGACUCUUCGGAGUUAGUGGCGGACGGGUGAGUAACACGUGGGAACGUGCCUUUAGGUUCGGAAUAAGCCCGGGAAACUGGGUCUAAUACCGAAUGUGCCCUUCAGGGGAAAGAUUUAUCGCCUUUAGAGCGGCCCGCGUCUGAUUAGCUAGUUGGUGGUGUAAUGGACCACCAAGGCUACGAUCAGUAGCUGGUCUGAGAGGAUGACCAGCCACAUUGGGACUGAGACACGGCCCAAACUCCUACGGGAGGCAGCAGUGGGGAAUCUUGCGCAAUGGGCGAAAGCCUGACGCAGCCAUGCCGCGUGGAUGAUGAAGGUCUUAGGAUUGUAAAAUCCUUUCACCGGUGAAGAUAAUGACUGUAGCCGGAGAAGAAGCCCCGGCUAACUUCGUGCCAGCAGCCGCUGUAAU